UGGGGAAUCUUGCACAAUGGGGGCGACCCUGAUGCAGCGACGCCGCGUGAGCGAUGAAGCCCUUCGGGGCGUAAAGCUCUUUCGACCGGAACGAUAAUGACGGUACCGGGAGAAGAAGCUGCGGCUAACUACGUGCCAGCAGCCGCGGUAAUACGUAGGCAGCAAGCGUUGUUCGGAGUUACUGGGCGUAAAGAGUGCGUAGGCGGUUUUCUAAGUUCGGUGUGAAAUCUCCCGGCUUAACUGGGAGGGUGCGCCGAAGACUGGGAAGCUGGAGUGUGGGAAAGGCAGGCGGAAUUCCUGGUGUAGCGGUGAAAUGCGUAGAUAUCAGGAGGAACACCGGCGGUGUAGACGGCUUGCUAGACCAUAACUGACGCUGAGGCACGAAAGCGUGGGUAGCAAACA
rnacentral:rRNA from 1 species